UGUUCAUCGGUUUCCAACCGCACGCCUCAUAUCGGGGAAUCGAAGCCACUGCGACUGAGCAAAACACGCUCGUUAGAGGCAGCAGCCGCUCGUGUGUUCGUGUAAACACUCAUCUUACCUCUCGCAGGACGUGGAUACUGAACUAGUCUCACCAGUGGACUUUUGGUGCUCGAUUCCUCAUUAACUUAUUCACAAACUAGACAUGGAGAACGAUAAAUAUCUCCCGCAGCUUCUGGCGGAGCGAGACAGCCUGGACUCGUCGUUCACACACGCCAUGAAACUUCUGUCGGCAGAAAUCGAGAAGGUUGAGAAAGGGGACACCGAAAAAGAGCCAGAGAACUACUUGGACCUGUUCACAACGAAAAACAUCAAACUCAAAGAAAGAGUUCUCAUACCAGUCAAACAGUACCCUAAGUUUAACUUUGUUGGGAAGAUCCUCGGACCACAGGGAAACACGAUCAAGAGACUGCAGGAGGAGACGGGUGCUAAGAUCUCAGUUCUUGGCAAAGGAUCAAUGAGGGACAAAACCAAGGAGGAUGGCUUGAGGAAAAGCGGAGAGCCGAAAUAUUCACAUUUAUCGAUGGAACUUCAUGUUUUUAUUGAGGUCUUCGCUCCCGUUCCCGAUGCAUAUAUGCGCAUGGCACACGCCAUGGGAGAGAUCAAAAAGUUCCUGUUUCCUGACUUGAUGGAUGAUAUUUGCCAGGAGCAGUUUAUGGAGAUGAAAUUUCUAAAUGGAGGACAAGAACCUGGAGCCAGAGGUAGAGGAGGACCACCGGUCAGAGGCCGUGGAGCCCCUCCACCUUCCGGAGCACCCAGGGGUCGUGGUAUGCCCCCGCGCGGAGCCGCUCGCGGUGGACCCCCUCGAGGUGCAGCUGUAAGGGGAGCUCCAUCAGGAAGAGGCGGACCUCCGACCCAACCGGCCAGAGGAGCUGCCGCCACCCGUGCCCGUCCACCUGCCCCUGCAGCACAGAGGAUGGCCCCACCACCAGCCUCGCAUCCUCCAGCCCAAGAGACAUACGAAGAAUAUUCUUACGAUGAGAACUACACAGAGACGCCCUAUGAAUCCUAUGACAGCUACUACACUCAGCCGCAGGCAGAACCAGAAUACUAUGACUAUGGGCACGGCGAAACACAGGAGGGGUAUGAGAGCUACGCUCAGGAUGACUGGAACGGGACACAGCGCACGGCAGCCGCCCCUGCCGCCGCCGGUGGAAAAGCUCCACCUCAGAGACAGACCAAGCCCGGAUACAGGGAGCAUCCCUAUGGACGAUACUAAGUCUGACUAGCCGAACGUCAUCCCGACACGUCGCCAUGACAACUGUCUCCCAUGGCAGCUCACGCUUUAAGCUACCCGACAAAAGAUCCGGCGCCUAGCCCUUCCUGGAAUUGAGAUUGGUUUUAACAAGGACGUGAGACCUCUGGCCAGGACAAGACAAGUGCUGAAUGUAAGUGCAAUCUUACCUUUGAGUACCAGAAGUCCUUAUGCAACUAUGGACACGGCAUCUGAAACCAGAGGGUCUGAUGUGUUUCUUCUGAAGAGAACGGAGGUGAAGCCCCAGGGUUUCGGUCAGCAUACCCGUCAAAGCCCAACCUUUACUCUGGGUUAAAUUGGACGAAUCAUUGGGUUCUUUCUGUCUGGUGUUAUGUAUAAAGGAUGAUCUGCACUUCCCGGCAUUCCUAAUGUUCACCAUAUCUUUUCUCAGCACGGUUAACUUAAAAAUUUCGUCUUUAAAUAUUGACCUGUGUGCUAAUGUUAGCCAAGAUAUGGUUUAAAAAUUCUGUCCGGUCUCUAGACGUCUGUCUCAGACGAGCUCCGCAGUGCUUUAUUCUGCAAGACGAAGCAUCUUCCCUGACACGCUCAUAGGGACCGUACGUGCUAAUUUAGAGCUGACCGGCCCGUAUCUGUUAGCACAGACGUUGUGUUUUAAUUGGCAGGGUAUUUCGUAAGAAGAUAUGUUUCAAUGGCUUUAUUUCACUGCAGCUGUCACAAAGCUCUGGGAUUUAGCCGCUGAUCUAAUUUAUACUAACAUUUUUCUAGAUAGUUAUUUCAUGACCUAAUUGAGUUUCGCACAAGCUGUUUUGUUUUUCGUUCCUCGUUACGUAAAUGGACGAAUUUGGCACUGAAUGCAUGAGCGCAUGUGUAUGCGUCGCCGUCGGUAUAAAUCCACCGAGCUUCCCUGUGACUCGGAUCUUUUUCUCAUUUCCCCCCGGUUCAUGCUGGAUUCAGAUUCGUCAUUCUGACCAAUUACUGCCGAUGACAGCGUGUCUGUCCUCCUGCAGAGCCGGUGCCGGUUGCUGACGGGCUAACAAGUCUCUGCCUUAUUGCAUUAGACACAAAUCAGUCCUCUGCACCGAUUUUAAUAAGCAUCCGCUAGCACUCAAGUGACAUUGAACAAUUGGUAAUGGCUGCCCGUGGGUAAGGAGGUUGACCAGCGAGUACGCAGGCAUAACGUAAUGAGAAAUCUCAAAAGCGGGAUUAUUUAAUUUAUUUCCCAGGGCAAAAAACCCUCGGAAAUCUUCCUGGAACAGAAUAUAUAAGCCAUAUAGCUGUGGUUAAUGGGUGCAUGUUUACGUAUUCAUGGUUAUGUGUGUGUACCCAUGACCUACAGCUGCGGGGAAAUGCAUCGGUGGUUAUCGAAAGGCAUGUGUGACCUUAACUAAUCUAAAAACCAGGGCUUGCUUUUACCUCCGAACACAUUAUGCAUGCUAAAAACAGGAAGCAUGGUUUCGCAGAUAUUCACACUUUUGUACCACAUACGCUGUCCCCCCUCAGUUUCUUGCAUGCCUAUUUUGUUCGUUUCACACCUAACAUUGCAUGCGCUCCGGGGAGCCGGGGUUUUCGAGUGCACGGGAAGUGGCUCUUACAGCAUUUCUGGCUCAAGUCCUGGGGAAAUGGUGGACGCCGGCCACCUUUUGCAGUGUGAAUGUGCCGGUAAUAAGUAAGCCUCCAAACGGUUUCUUCCUCGGUGCGCCGUGAUGAAAAUGAAUUGAAUCUGUCCGUGUGGAAUCUGGCACGAGUAAUCCGUAGCCCUCCAGGACAAGAGUUGGACACAUCCACCUUGACCGUUGCCGUGGUAACAUUCCAUUGCAUGUUUCUCAACACUCGCAUAAAUGAAUCCACACAGCACAAGGCGGGAAUAUCAUGGGAUUUGAGACGGAAUAGCUGUGCCAGGAGUCUGUAUUGUCUCUUGUUGUUUUUUAAAGAGAUUUAUGAGCUUGUACUCGCCUGAUCUGAAAACAUGAAUCACUGAUGUUGGCCUUUAUCUUAAUAGAGGAGUUUUUUGGGGGUUGAGAAACAAAUCUGUGACACUGAGGAGAAUUUCUGUUCACAUUUGCAAGUGAAUACAAACUUAUUUGUCAUGUCUUUGGAAGUCGGUGCAACCAAGAGAGCAAGUUUACACGGCCAGCAAUUGACUACAUGACUAAAUAAAAAAUGCUUAAUGUGUUUCUUUAUUAUGUUUGGCAAUGCAAAUACUGUUAAAAUAAUAAAAGAGUUAAAUUAA